UACCGGUCGUCCGGAGUACCGGGGCCGCGACCGUCUGAGCGAGGAACUGACUCAGCGGCAGUGCCGGAUACAGCCUGAUGCCGGGGAAGGUUUGGCCAAACCAUAUGGGAGGCCUAGAACUUUCCUCAGCUCACACAGGCAGUAGUGGCCCUGCCAGGGCUUGACCCAAGCUGUCUGAUUCUACAGAUCAGCCUGGACCCACCAGACCCUGGUGACUCCCCAUCACUUACACACCAGUGCACCUUUCCAAGCCAGUGUGACCUCCGACCAGUGUCAUCGGACCCCACAGGCACGGAAACAUGCACAAACACCCCGAGCUGUCGGGCCUCUGGCUAGCUCUAGGAAAACAGAAAACAGCUUAAGUUUCUUUAAUGGAACUAGAUGCACUGGAGCCUGUGUCCAGGAGAGCAAACCCGGGAAUGAGGGCCCGUGGCUGCCGCCAUGUGCAGAGGAGUCUUUUGAUUCCUAGUUGCCGAGAUCCUGGUUCUUGCAGGAGAAGAUGACCCGCGGGUUGGUGGUCCCACCCUCGUGUCCACAAGGAGUCCCCGGACAGAUGACAAGGCUGCUGCAAGGCAAGGCUGCUCCUUGCUGGACCCGCUGAAGAGGCAGCUGUGAUCUGGUCGACGGGAGGCGAAUGAGGCCCCAAGCUCAGCUUUUCUACCCGGAAUAGUUUGGCUCUGGCCAGACAGGUCCCCAGCAGACAUAGAAAGGGAACGCAGCUUCUCCACGCCAGUUCUCGUCCUGGACCCUCUCACUGGAACUCUCCCUGUGCCCUGGACAAGUGGAGCGCGGGGGCCGGACUGCACGUGGGAGGAGAUGGAGCUCCGAGCACAGGAACCCGGUAUGUUGUUUGGAUGUGCCCCGACUGCCUACUCCUCCACGGAAAACUGCGCUGUGGAGCCCGAUGCUUGUGACUCAUCACUGGAAUGUGUGACAGGAAAGGACUGUCCAGUAAAGAGGCGGAAGCAAGGGCACCAGAGGGCAAAGGGUGGGGCUCUUGGCCCUUCUCCAGUCCCUAUGGGAUUUCUGCCCCUGGUUUUAGGGCUUGGGGACUGUCCUUCCUCCUCCUCCCCAUCCCACCCACACCCUCUACUGCCCCCCCCACACUCCCCCUGCAUGUGGGCACACACGGGACUGCUGGUGCUUGUUGCCAGCAGCAGGGGCACCGCUGGGGCUCUGGGUCUGAGGUCUCCUCUGCAUCUGGCCUGGGGCUGUAGGUGACGCACUCUGUGCCUCUUAGUUCCACUAGCCAUUGUUCCUGGGGUCAGAGGAAGCAGAGCCUGCUCAGAGCCAGGCUCUGGAGCACCCCACAUCUGGAUGGUCUGGGGGCCUGGCUUACUCUAUGUCAGUGCGGGAGAAACGCCACG